UACGGGGGGGGCAAGCGUUGUUCGGAAUUACUGGGCGUAAAGGGCCAGUAGGCGGCCAACUAAGUCCGACGUGAAAUCCCCAGGCUCAACUUGGGAACUGCGUCGGAUACUGGAUGGCUUGAAUUCGGGAGAGGGAUGCAGAAUUCCAGGUGUAGCGGUGAAAUGCGUAGAUAUCUGGAGGAACACCGGUGGCGAAGGCGGCAUCCUGGACCAAUACUGACACUGAGGAGCGAAAGCCAGGGGAGCAAACGGG
rnacentral:rRNA from 1 species